CCUACGGGAGGCAGCAGUGGGGAAUAUUGCACAAUGGGGGAAACCCUGAUGCAGCAACGCCGCGUGAAGGAAGACGGUUUUCGGAUUGUAAACUUCUGUUCUUAGUGAAGAAUAAUGACGGUAGCGAAGGAGCAAGCCACGGCUAACUACGUGCCAGCAGCCGCGGUAAUACGUAGGUGGCAAGCGUUGUCCGGAAUUACUGGGUGUAAAGGGAGCGCAGGCGGGAAGCCAAGUCAGCGGUGAAAACUAAGGGCUUAACUUGUAGACUGCAGUUGAAACUGGUUUUCUUGAGUAUGGGUGAGGUAGGUGGAAUUCUUGGUGUAGGGGUAAAAUCCGUAGAGAUCACGAGGAAUACUCAUUGCGAAGGCGACCUGCUAGAACAUAACUGACGCUGAUGCGCGAAAGCGUGGGGAGCAAACAGGAUUAGAUACCCGGGUAGUC
rnacentral:rRNA from 1 species